AAAAUGACUGUCAAACCCAAUUAUGCAGGUUUGUAAUGUAUUUUCAUGGUAGCCAGAUCGAUUCUAGUAAAUGCUAUUUUUUAAGUUUGCCGUUUGAUGAACGCUUAACGGUAGACGUUUGCAAUGAGGCAUCGAUCUAAUCCUUUAGUAAGACGUAUUUUGCUUUGCUUGAUACAAAGGCUUUGUAAAUCGUCAAGGGUCGAAGUAACUUAGCUUUUUAUACAUAUAAGUAGUUAUUUUGUUUGUUUCGAAUCACCUUUAGUUUUUUGUUAUUAUGUAUCACAAACGGACAAGGGAGGCGGUUUUGGAAGAGGGCUAGCAGCUGGGGGAGGGGGUUACAGCUAAUACCGAGUGGCUGUGGCAUUUUCAAGCAUUUCAGGUUCGAAGGCUAUGACGACAAAACUAUUAAAAUUCAGCUACAUGCUAAAGCAUAAUGGUCACGAUGGCGAAAUCUUCGGCGACCUAUGAUUUGUGCAUAAUUUGUGUAGCGAUUUUUAAAAUUGUUACUGCUCAAACAUACCAUAUCAGUUUUGCGGGACUUCAUUGCAAAAUGUGCCCACCGGGUACCCAUUGGGUAAGUGACUGCAACUCGGACGGGCAGCAAGAUAAAUGUGAACCCUGUCCUGAAGGAUCUUACACGUCCAACUAUAACAUUGCACAUUUGUGUGCGCCGUGUCGCACAGAAUGUACAGGACAACACCAUGAUCGAAACAUUGUACAAGUGUCCUGUACAAACAUAUCUGAUUUGAAAUGUGCGUGUAAGGAGGGCUAUUGGUUGAAACGGCAUCAUCAGAAAUCAACGUGCAGACAUGUGUCUUCCUGUCGUCCUGGUUCAGGCGUCCAACGUCAGGCGGACGACAAUAGCGACACAACAUGUGCCACUUGCCAAGCUGGUUUCACGUUCUCCAACAUCACGUCUACGACAGAGCUCUGCAGGGACUGUACCGUGUGCGGAGACGCAUAUGAAGUUGUCACCAAGUGUACCCCGUUCAAUGACACUGUCUGCCAAUUGAAAGAGCAACCGUACGAUAUAGUAGAACCGAUUGCAGGCCUAUCAAUUGAAACGGAAUUGAGUUCGUCCGCAAGGAUAACUUGGUCUAUAUCAAAGAUGACAAUGGUUGUUUGCUUUGCUUUAUUACAACUUCAAUCAUUCUAAUUGAAUCUAAAGGAAAGCUAUCAUGAUUCGUUAUCGCGCUUCACAUUUUUUGAGUGCAGAUUUCGAGGAUAUACAAUACUUUUAUGCUUUGUUACCUUGAGUUUAUAUUUUAUUUGACAUUAACUUUGUUUCUUUGCUCAAUAUCUGUCCCGACUUGAUUGCUCAUUUUUUAGCUCAUCUAUUUUUUGAAAAAAAAAUGUGAGCUAUUGUCAUCACCUUGGCGUCGGCGUUGGCGUCGGCGUCCGGUUAAGUUUUGCGUUUAGGUCCACUUUUCUCAGAAAGUAUCAAUGCUAUGGCAUUCAAACUUGGUACACUUACUUACUAUCAUGAGGGGACUGGGCAGGCAAAGUUAGAUAACUCUGGCGUGCAUUUUGACAGAAUUAUGUGCCCUUUUUAUACUUAGAAAAUUGAAAAUUUUGGUUAAGUUUUGUGUUUAGGUCCAUUUUAUUCCUUAAGUAUCAAAGCUAUUGCUUUCAUACUUGCAACACUUACUAACUAUCAUAAGGGGACUGUGCAGGCAAAGUUAUGUAACUCUGACUGGCAUUUUGACAGAAUUAUGUGCCCUUUUUAUACUAAGAAAAUUGAAAAUUUGGUUAAGUUUUGUGUUUAGGUCCACUUUUUUCCUACAGUAUCAAAGCUAUUGCUUUCAUACUUGCAACACUUAUUAACUAUCAUAAGGGGACUGUGCAGGCAAAGUUAUGUAACUCUGACUGGCAUUUGGACGGAAUUAUGGGCCCUUUAUACUUAGAAAAUUGAAAAUUUGGUUAAGUUUUGUGUGUUGGUCCACUUUUCCCCUAAAGUAUCAUAGAUAUUGCUUUCAUACUUGGAACACUCGCAAACUAUCAUAAGGAGACAGUAAAAGGACAAGUUGCAUAACUCUGGUUGUCAUUUUACGGAAUUAUGGCCCUUUUUUGACUUAGUAACUUUGAAUAUAUGGUUAAAUUUUGUGUUUCGAUCCACUUUACUUCUAAAGUAUCAAGGCUAUUGCUUUCAAACUUCAAAUACUUUCAUGCUAUCAAGAGGUUACUGUACCUGGCAAGUUGAAUUUUACCUUGACCUUUAGAUGACCUUGACU